AUUGAACGCUGGCGGCAGGCCUAACACAUGCAAGUCGAGCGGAUGAAGGGAGCUUGCUCCUGGAUUCAGCGGCGGACGGGUGAGUAAUGCCUAGGAAUCUGCCUGGUAGUGGGGGAUAACGUCCGGAAACGGGCGCUAAUACCGCAUACGUCCUGAGGGAGAAAGUGGGGGAUCUUCGGACCUCACGCUAUCAGAUGAGCCUAGGUCGGAUUAGCUAGUUGGGGGGGUAAAGGCCUACCAAGGCGACGAUCCGUAACUGGUCUGAGAGGAUGAUCAGUCACCUGGAAGUGGGAACAGGUCCAGGACUCCGGGGGGAGGCGCGAGGGGGAAUUUUUGGACAAGGGGGGAGAGCAUGACACGGCCGGCCGCCGGGUGAGAAAGGAAUUUUCGGUUGUGAAGGCCUUUGAAGGGGGGGGAAAGGGCAGUAAUUUAUUACCUUGUUGUUUUGACGUAACCAAGUAAAGAAAGACGGGCAAACUUCGUG
rnacentral:rRNA from 1 species